UAUUGCUGUGCUUCUGAGAAGCUUUUUACAGCAUAAAUGCUCUUGUGGCUUCCAGCCCUGAAGUUGAGAAUAAAACCACUCUUUCAGGUGAAAUCAAGCGCUCAUGAAGAAUUUAGGCUGUAUAGAUUUUCCUUUGUAGGGCUGAACUGCUGCUGCUGCUCCCAGAGUUACAGAUCUUAUCUUCUGCUUAAGCAGGGUGAGAGAAGGACUUACUUUAGCAUGUUAGUUGCUUUUGUGAGCCACUUGUUCUUCUGUUUGGACUAUUAAAUACUCAGGUAUGUGAGCAAACUGAGUGUCAGUUACAAAUAUAAAAAAAAUAAUAACCAAAACAUUAUUAGACUCUGCUUAACUGUUGGUAUAGCGGGCAUUUUCUUUAAAUGUAUUUUUUAAAAACAAGUUUUAACGUAGACUGUUGUUGAUGUUGGUUUAAACUUAAACUUGGAAAAAUGAAGACACUGCCCUUCUUAAAAUAUAGUAUUCUAUAAAUAUCUCUGUGUUGAUAGAGCUUAAUAACCACUUCCUUCAGACCACUUUGUCCAUAGAUUUUCUGGAGCAGCAUGAGCUUUUUAAAGCCUAUUGACUCGUGGGGAAUUGGAAGUCAAAAGGGUCAGAUCCUUAAAAAUCUUUUCUUGACCUACUAGGUCUCCCCAAACCACCUCUGACAUGCCCCUAUCCCUGCAGUUGUCUACAUUCCUUCUUGCUUCAUGCAGUUAAGGCUCAGCUUGGAGACCUUAGAGGGGAAGCUCAGGCUGUGCCCCCCUCUCCAGCAUGGCUUCAACCCAUCAGGGCUCACCGAAGCAAAACACCCCACUCUUUCCUUUCAGUAACCAAGGGUUUAACAGUGAGACUAUUGUACGGGUCCUGUGUUCUCUGAAUGUUUUAGAUAAAUGACUCUUGAAGGUUUGUGUCCGUGAGAUUGAAAAUCUAGGUAUAGGUAUUAAAGGGUAUAGGAAUUAAAAGCAACUUUCAUCGCUUCUGGUCUGAGCAUUCACUGGUGACAGUGGUAAUGAGAAGAGAAUCAGUCUGUACAUUUUAAACAAAAAUAAAGAUUUCUUAAGCUUCUUGUAUUUAACUGUGUUUUGUCUUCUCUUUGAAACAGUUUCUUAGAAAGCCCAGUAAUGUGUGGAUGGACCAUUGCCUGGAGGGCUGGGACUGAGGGUGUCUGAGAGGUGCAAGCAGUAUACAGAAAUACCGUUGCACAAAUCAGCUGGGUUGUCAUGGGGAAACUUCACAGCAGGAACGUGAUGAAAAGAUGGCCAUUUUUUUUUCUUGCUGAGAUACUGCAGGGGAACGAACAGCAAUCGUUUCCUUACCAACCUACAGGAUAGCUCGUGGAUGAGGCAGGAGCGGUGUGCAGCCUUCUGUUGUUCCUCUGCUGCUGGGUUUGAGAGCUGAGCGAAGGAGAAGUGGACGGCAAUCUGGUCCAGGAGUAUCCCCUGGAAUCAGCAAGCACUCCAAGUCAGAUUGAUUUUGCUUUUUAGUGCAACAGAUCUGUGGAGCAGCGUGUCUCCUGCUGAAAGAGAAGCACAUGGACAGCUUGAACAAGCUAGAAGUUCAUUCUUGGCCUUACUGUAUGGAGUAGUUCAUCUCCAGGACUCCUGUGACCUUCUCGAUGAGAUACUGACCUGAAGACUUGCCUCACUGCAUAAUGGGAAAUUAGAACAUUCUUUUAUUUCAAGAGGACUGAUUUAUUUUUUCAAAAAGCAUUUUCUUCCUAUUUUUUUCAGGAACUUGCACUGCUGUGCUGUUGGCAUUUAGUAUGAUUGGUUUUUUUUAUAAAAGUAGAGACAAGUCUGUAUCAUGACACUUGUCUCUUUUGGACUUGGCAAGUGUGUGAUAUACUGACCGAAUUACACUCUCUCUCAUACCUCUUCUCCUGCUGUCAGCACUUCUGCAUUGCAGUUUGUGGGCUAUUGCUCGAGCAAUAACCCUCUGCAAUCGCAGAGAGCUGCUGUAUUACACAAGUUGCUUCUGAAAGCUAAAUUCCAAACAAGAGCAAUGUUUCCUUCCCGUGUGCUCUCCCAUAUGCCCACUCAAUACAAACGACUUAACUGUGCAGAAGAUUAAUCUUUUCUUGGAGUUUCUCAGUUGUUCUGCUGGCGUAAAACUUGGGUAAUGUUGUGUGAAGAUUUCAAACUACUCCCUCGUGCGUUGGUUUUCCUCCAGAGGGAUGUGUAAUCUCUGUUCUCUGGGCAAGGAAUUGAAGCACAGUGAAGUUCUGAAUUGCUCCUAAUUGAUGGCAAAGACCUGUGCAACUUCACUGCCUAGCUCUUGGCAUGAAGCUCUCCAAAAGCUUCCUACUGAAACGUAGUGAGACAAAUUGUUCUGACCUAUUGCACAACAUGAGGGCCCCACAUGAGUGUGAUUCUCAAAUACCAGCAGUUCACAUGAUCUAACUCCAGUCUUGCACCACCUCAGAGUACUGAUACAGUUUGUCUGGGCGUUGGAAGCUUUUCUGUCUCGUACUUGGUGUGGCCAACUCCAUGCGAUGUGAUGAAUAACAACUUUUUCUGAAAACACUUCUCCUGCCUCAGCUCUAGCUCUGCCUUCUUUUGGUCUGGCUCUCUGAGGGCUCCUCACGCAGAAAAUCCAGAGAUGCAAUUGGUGCCCUGGGGGCUGUGCCUUCUGUAGGUGAGCUCUGCUUCCCAGUUAGAUGGAGUGACAUUGUCUUUGCAAAUGAAAAAGCCUCUACCUGCACGGUUAACCCGUAGCAUUCAAUUGAGAGAGGAAUAAUAAAUAAAAUCGGUAUCUGUAGGUUCACUAUGACCUAUUGGUGGAUGCUAUUUUAAAAAAUAAUCCACGUGGAUUUUCUUUUACUAAUGAUUUACUGGAUUUAAAAUUUGGUCUUUGUUCGUGUUGAGCUGUUUCUGCCUUUGCUGCAGGAGUAACACUAUGUAACUGGCUGUAGCAGUGGCUGGCCUUGUUUUGUUCAAACAGAUAUAAAACAGACACUUAAUAAACAGGGAAGAGGAGCAACAAGUUUCUUUCAUUCCUGAGUUAAUCCUAAGGAAUAACAGUUUGUAUACAGGAACUGGAACUAUUAAAGCUUGGGUGUCAUAGGCA